rnacentral:tRNA from 1 species
GCCUGAGUGGUGAAAUCGGUAGACGCACGGGACUCAAAAUCCCGCGGUAGCAAUACCAUGGGGGUUCAAGUCCCCCCUUAGGCACCA